rnacentral:rRNA from 1 species
UACGGAGGGUGCAAGCGUUAUCCGGAAUCACUGGGUUUAAAGGGUGCGUAGGCGGCUAUGUAAGUCAGUUGUGAAAUACCUCGGCUUAACCGAAGGAAGUGCGAUUGAUACUGCGUAGCUUGAAUCAGGUUGAGGUAGGCGGAAUGUGACAUGUAGCGGUGAAAUGCUUAGAUAUGUCAUAGAACACCGAUUGCGAAGGCAGCUUACUGGGCUUUGAUUGACGCUGAUACGCGAAAGCGUGGGGAGCAAACAGG